ACUCCUGCGGGAGGCAGCAGUGGGGAAUUUUGGACAAUGGGCGAAAGCCUGAUCCAGCAAUGCCGCGUGAGUGAAGAAGGCCUUCGGGUUGUAAAGCUCUUUUGUCAGGGAAGAAACGGUGAGAGCUAAUAUCUCUUGCUAAUGACGGUACCUGAAGAAUAAGCACCGGCUAACUACGUGCCAGCAGCCGCGGUAAUACGUAGGGUGCAAGCGUUAAUCGGAAUUACUGGGCGUAAAGCGUGCGCAGGCGGUUUUGUAAGUCUGAUGUGAAAUCCCCGGGCUCAACCUGGGAAUUGCAUUGGAGACUGCAAGGCUAGAAUCUGGCAGAGGGGGGUAGAAUUCCACGUGUAGCAGUGAAAUGCGUAGAUAUGUGGAGGAACACCGAUGGCGAAGGCAGCCCCCUGGGUCAAGAUUGACGCUCAUGCACGAAAGCGUGGGGAGCAAACAGGAUUAGAUACCCCUGUAGUCCCAUGA
rnacentral:rRNA from 1 species